GACAGAGGUGCCGAGCGUUAGGCGGAAUCACUGGGCUUAAAGCGUGUGUAGGCGGACUUCUAAGUACCUUGUGAAAUCCCACGGCUCAACCGUGGAACUGCUCGGUAUACUGGUCGUCUUGAGCCACCUAGGGGCGAGCGGAACAAGCGGUGGAGCGGUGAAAUGCGUAGAUAUCGCUUGGAACGCCAACGGUGAAAACAGCUCGCUGGGGGUGUGCUGACGCUGAGACGCGAAAGCCAGGGGAGCGAACGGG
rnacentral:rRNA from 1 species